rnacentral:tRNA from 1 species
UAGCUCAUUUGGUAGAGCAUGGUGCUUGCAACACCAGGUUUGUGGGUUCAAUUCCCGG